CCCCACCCCCGGCCUGUGGUAAAGCAGCCCGGGCUUGGAGGUCGUCCAGCCGCCCAGAACUGGCCACACUGAAGCCCCCCGCCUGGCCGCUCCUCUCCCCGGCUCCCGGACACCAGGUCCUAACUUCAUCCAGGGCAUGAGAGUGGUCGGGCCAUCUGGAGCCGCUGCUCCCCCUGCCCCACCCUCCAGGGGCGCCACCCCUCUCCUUGGUCUAAGGGUGCCCCAGGAGGCCUCCCACCUCAGGCCUUGCUCAGGUGGCCCGUCCUGGAAUGUCUCCGCUGCCCCCCAACGCUAAGCCGCCCCUACAAGGGCAUCACAAAGGCCUCCCCACCCCCCCAGGCCUUUCCUGGGGCCAGCCCGCCCCGCGGCCCCGGGAAGGCAGGAGCCUCCUCCUCCUUGACUCUCCGAGGGGCCGGCUCCGCUCCCAGCCCUCACGGGGGAGCAUCUUCUGCGGAGGAAACGAAGCUCCCCAGCCCAAGCUUUUACAAGGGGAGCGGAUGAAGUGUGACAACAGUGUGCCACCUGGUCCUCCCAUCAAGUCGCAAUACUGUCCCAGCUGAAGCGCCCUCUCCAGCACUCUGCUGACCCCGGGCCUGGACAGGGUGCCCGGAAGCCUUUCAGCCACCCCCACGAGGAGGGGCCCACCAUCUCCAUCCUACGGCUGCUGCUCUAAGGGCCUGCCCUUCCCCGUCUCAGGGAACCAGAGGACGCGAGCACCACCUGAGCAGCGACGAUCAAGGUGUGCAAGGCAGGGUGCAGGAGACCCAGCCAGCCAGGCAGAUGCUUCCCUAACCCUCUGUACAGCGGAGGCGCAGGCGACAGAUGCACAACCGGAGCAGCGAGGAGGCAGGGCUUGGAGUGUGCGCUCCCCACUCUGCCCCCUCGGUUACAAGUCUGGGUGGCAUGCACCUGCCAGGGCCUGCCGGGCCAGGACUCUGACAAGGUGCUCACUUACACUAAUGCCAAUGGGAGCUGGGGUGAAUUAUCAGGUUCCAGCUCAAAAACCGAGAGGCCAGGUUUUCCCGUGCCAGACACAGACUCUGAGGGAAGGUACAAGGAGGAGGUUCCGCUGAGCAGAGCAGGGCAGCACAGCCCACGGAAAGCACUGCAGCGGCCACUGGGGCAGAUCCGCAGUCUCCCUAGGCCUCCUGCUCAAUGAGGCGACUCCAUCCGCUUGUGAAGAAAAACCAGAACUCUGCUUGGGAACACAGGCAGGCAGCGAGCACACCAUUCUGUCAAAG
rnacentral:lncRNA from 1 species